GACGAACGCUGGCGGCGUGCCUAAUACAUGCAAGUCGAACGAGAGCGCCCGGUGCUUGCACUGGUCAAUCUAGUGGCGAACGGGUGAGUAACACGUGGGUAACCUGCCCAUCAGAGGGGGAUAAAAUUCGGAAACGGAUGCUAAAACCGCAUAGGUCUUCGAACCGCAUGGUUUGAAGAGGAAAAGAGGCGCAAGCUUCUGCUGAUGGAUGGACCCGCGGUGCAUUAGCUAGUUGGUGAGGUAACGGCUCACCAAGGCCGUGAUGCAUAGCCGACCUGAGAGGGUGAUCGGCCACAUUGGGACUGAGACACGGCCCAAACUCCUACGGGAGGCAGCAGUAGGGAAUCUUCCGCAAUGGACGCAAGUCUGACGGAGCAACGCCGCGUGAGUGAAGAAGGUUUUCGGAUCGUAAAACUCUGUUGUUAGAGAAGAAUAAGUGCUAGAGUAACUGUUAGCGCCUUGACGGUAUCUAACCAGAAAGCCACGGCUAACUACGUG
rnacentral:rRNA from 1 species